rnacentral:tRNA from 1 species
CAGAGUGUAGCUAAGUAGCCCAGCGUCCCACUUACACCGUGAAGAGAUCCGUGCAAAUCGGAUCACUCUGA